GAACCAGGUGUCCUUAUUUCAUCUAUCAUCAUUCUGACUUUUUCAGGCACUUUGGUGGCAUCGCUGCAGAUCUCCUGCCACCCAGGCAGCUUGGAUUUCAGGAAGUCCGCACACUGCAUCCAAGUUUAAAAAGCUCAGCCUGAGACUUCUCUAAAGAAUCUAAUUUGCUUCUGUGUUCAGUUUGGUACCUCUUUAAAGUUGCCUGCAAUCAAAGCAUUCAAAACAUCUCAGUGCACUCAGCCCCGGACCUGGCAUCACAUGAGCAAGAAGACAUCCUAAAAGACCAUCUUUGCUUGGAUGAAAAACAAGGAAAGCAAUUUCUAACAGAAAUACUCAUUGUAAGACCAGAAUGCAGAACUCCUGCGGCAGUUGCACUUCAGCCUCACUGUUUACACUGGGAAGGAUUUAAUUGUGCAACAGAUGUUUUAAAGAAGGUGAAAAGGGUCAAUAGUAUUUAAUGUGGAAAAAUCAUAAAGAAGGACAAAGUAAUGUAAAAAUUUGCAAGCUCUGUCUGUACUUUGCUUCUAAUACAAUUUGUCCAGAAAGCUUAGAAAAACCUAACCCAACACCCCCACAAUCUGUAGAAUUAAUACUGAUGUGCACAUAAAUCAGUAGGACGAGGUCAAGUCUGCCUUUCCUUACCACAUGAACGAACAUGAAAUAGGAAGCAAGGAGUAAAUCUCCCUAUAGUUCAUUUUAUAAAAUGGCAUUGACACAUGACCAUUCAAUGCCAUUUUAUGAAGGUGACUGCAGAAGGCGAAGGGGAAGAAUAACAAAAGAGAAUAGGGGAAGAGAUUUCAGAGUAUAACAAUGUAUUUUAGGUCCAUUAUACGUGCUAGAUGUAGUGCCCUGAAGCAGCAGCUCCACAUAGUUAUGUUUUGCUAGAACAGCAAAUAAAUAAUCGAAUCUGUGAAUAAAACAAAACCAGAAGCAAAUAGAACUUCACAUUCUAAAUGCUAUUCUCAGAUCAAUUUUUACUUUAAAAUAUGCAGAGUUCUCACUAAGGCUGUGAACAGAGAUGGUUCUGCAAUACAACAAGCAAAUAACUUAAAACAGAUUAAACAUGGGUUAAAGGAAAUAAAAACCUGACACAAUGUAUUCAUGUACUAGUCCAGUAAAAUAAAAUCCCAAAGUGAUAUUGAUUAUGAGCCAUGAGAAAUGAAACUGAACAUCAUGACAUUAUUGGACAUGUAAAAAAGCAUAAUUUCUCAUUUAAAGUUAGCUCACACUCAUUCAGGUAAAUAUCUGAAACUGAUUUAAUGCUCAGAGUUAAGAAGUUUCAAUUUCUCCAGAGCUCAGUUUUAUCACAACUUUUUCCACAAGGUCCCUUACUUCUAAAUAUUUAAAA